GCACUGCUGAAGAGUCCCACAACAGGACGAAACCGCUGUCCAGUUC
rnacentral:hammerhead_ribozyme from 1 species